rnacentral:rRNA from 2 species
UGCAAGUCGAACGGAAAGGCCCUUCGGGGUACUCGAGUGGCGAACGGGUGAGUAACACGUGGGUGAUCUGCCCUGCACUCUGGGAUAAGCCUGGGAAACUGGGUCUAAUACCGGAUAGGACCACACACUUCAUGGUGAGUGGUGCAAAGCUUUUGCGGUGUGGGAUGAGCCCGCGGCCUAUCAGCUUGUUGGUGGGGUAAUGGCCCACCAAGGCGACGACGGGUAGCCGGCCUGAGAGGGUGACCGGCCACACUGGGACUGAGAUACGGCCCAGACUCCUACGGGAGGCAGCAGUGGGGAAUAUUGCACAAUGGGCGCAAGCCUGAUGCAGCGACGCCGCGUGAGGGAUGACGGCCUUCGGGUUGUAAACCUCUUUCAGUAGGGACGAAGCGAAAGUGACGGUACCUACAGAAGAAGGACCGGCCAACUACGUGCCAGCAGCCGCGGUAAUACGUAGGGUCCGAGCGUUGUCCGGAAUUACUGGGCGUAAAGAGCUCGUAGGUGGUUUGUCGCGUUGUUCGUGAAAACUCACAGCUUAACUGUGGGCGUGCGGGCGAUACGGGCAGACUAGAGUACUGCAGGGGAGACUGGAAUUCCUGGUGUAGCGGUGGAAUGCGCAGAUAUCAGGAGGAACACCGGUGGCGAAGGCGGGUCUCUGGGCAGUAACUGACGCUGAGGAGCGAAAGCGUGGGUAGCGAACAGGAUUAGAUACCCUGGUAGUCCACGCCGUAAACGGUGGGUACUAGGUGUGGGUUUCCUUCCUUGGGAUCCGUGCCGUAGCUAACGCAUUAAGUACCCCGCCUGGGGAGUACGGUCGCAAGACUAAAACUCAAAGGAAUUGACGGGGGCCCGCACAAGCGGCGGAGCAUGUGGAUUAAUUCGAUGCAACGCGAAGAACCUUACCUGGGUUUGACAUGCACAG